rnacentral:rRNA from 1 species
CCCUUAGACGUUCUGGGCCGCACGCGCGCUACACUGACACAGGCAACGAGCUACUCUUCACCGAAAGGUGUGGGUAAUCUUUUGAAACUUUGUCGUGCUGGGGAUAGAUCCUUGCAAUUUUUGAUCUUAAACGAGGAAUUCCUAGUAAGCGCAAGUCAUCAACUUGCGUUGAUUACGUCCCUGCCCUUUGUACACACCGCCCGUCGCUCCUACCGAUUGGGUGUGCUGGUGAAAUGUUCGGAUCGGCCGUUUGUCGCGGUUUCCGCGUCAUGUGGCUGAGAAGUUCAUUAAACCCUCCCACCUAGAGGAAGGAGAAGUCGUAACA